AGCUGCAAACGACCUCAAAGAAAUUGAAAUCAUACAAAAAUCGAAGAGGAAUUGCCAGAGUUUUCUUCUACUAAGCUUCAGCUCCGAUGACAUGAAGAUCAAUUUCAACCGACACAAACGUACUUUUUCCUUUAUGCUUUGAACACAAACGUACUUUUUCCUUUAUGCUUUGAACAUCCACUAGUUAGUUGGUAUUUUGGGCGGUAUCAGAAAUGGUUUGAAGGUCAAGAGCAAUCCUGUGACCUCGACCGCGUUCAAGAUGAAGAAUACCAUCUGAUCACCUGGAAGGAAUGAAACAUGUUGCCGCUUUUGUGCCCAUGAAAAUAUAGCACCUCCGCCUGCAGGAGCAACUGCUUUAAAACAGGACAUAGCGGUCAUCGAAAGGCCAUUUGCAGCUCCUCUUUGGUGUUGAGGCACAGCAUUGUUUUGCAAUAUGAACGUCCCUGUGAUGAUAAUCAUAGCUAGAACGUUUUUCAACAAUGAUGCACAAUUUACAAUCACCGUGAGUGCAACUCCUGAUAGCCUUGUCAUAAAUGGAUAAGAGGCGAGCAAUGGUAUCGAUAAAGCCGAUGCAACACGGGAUGAAUUGAUGGGUCCAAGUAGUUUCUCAAAUGGAGGAUAAAGAAAUAGUUGAAAUACAAGAAGACCAAAACCUGAAAAUGAAAGCACCUCACCAACUUGCUUGGAUGAAAAGCUCAAACCUCCGUACGUUUUAUCACUUACAGCCCAGAGAGAGAAUAUCUCAGUAUAAGCCAUGUCAUGAAGGGAGAAAACACAAUAUACGAUUAUAGAAGAAAUUAAUGGCCAGUUCUUGUAUAUGCUCGUCUCGGAAUGGCUUCCUUCAGUUUCUGUGUUUUCUUUUGAAUCAGUGCCAUAAGAAGUCUCCAAGGCUUCAAUGGUUCCAUUUCCUACAUUGCUUUCCUUAUGCAUAUGCAGGGUUUCAGGAAUCCAGAUACAAACUAUUAAUGCAACAACUGCGAAGAGUGAUAUAAUGAUGCAGGGUAGGCAGUAUGGGAACCUCCCAAAAAUCGAAUCCUCAGAAAACAAGCUUGGAUAAUACUUAGCAGGCUGCGAAAAAAAUCCCCCAAUGGCUGGACCAACUAUCAAACCUAUGCCCCAUGCUGUGCUCAUAAUUGAUAAAGAAAGAGCUUGAUGUUCAGGUCGACAUACUUCAAUAGCAUAAGCCUUUAUUGGGCCAAGUACACCAUUUAAGGAACCAAGAAGGAAUCUAGUAGUAAUUGCCAUCCAAUAAGUUGCACUGAAGCCAAAUAGUGUGUUGAAUAUAAUCACUGAGAUAACGCCAACCACUAUAACAGGCUUUCUCCCAUAACGAUCAGACACCAAUCCCCAAAAUAUGGAACUUA
rnacentral:misc_RNA from 1 species